UGUUGGUUCUGAUGUAUGUUCAGGUACUGUUUGUUGGUUCUGAUGUAUGUUCAGGUACUGUUUGUUGGUUCUGAUGUAUGUUCAGGUACUGUUUGUUGGGUUAGAAUGGGGAAACUGCCUGAGUCAGAAAUAUUUGACUGAUUUAAAGACACAAUAACUGAACAUUUCUUUUUCUGUGACUUUGUGUUUAAAAUGAAAGCUUUGUGCAUUUCUUCCAUCGUUGCUUCACACUGUGAAACACAGAGCUGCUGCUUAUUCCUUCCAGCCACACAGAUUACAUAAUCCAGCACCCCUCUGACCUCCCACCACCUCUUCUCGCUUUCCUCCCUCCACCUCUGCGCUCUCCURUCAUUUCUGCUCACAUGGUUUCAGUUUUAGCAGCGAGGCUCACUUUGUGCCGCUGCAGGUCUGGGGAGACGUCKGUGCUGGUUCUGUUCAGUGAAAUGUGUUUGUAGGGACAUGCUGCCUCUUGUCUGGAGAUCUGCGUGCAGCUCGGAGGCAGAAACRUUUUGUCGUCGGUCUGAGACAGGAGGAAAAGGAGAUGUUGUCACGUCACUGUGAAGCUUGUUUGUUUCCCUCACUGUUGAAGGUUUUCAUUUGAUUCUAAUCUGAGAGAAACUUCAAACACGUCAACUGAUGAGUUAAUGCCUCAGAAGUGCGUUAAUAAUCUGUAAGUAAGAGUUAGCUCUCACCUGUUUCCAAAUGAAAACAUUAAAGUCAUAAUUUGAAUAUUUUAAAGUAACUUCUGUUAGAAGGAUAUGAACAGGGGUAAUCACCUUUCAGCCUCAGGUGGGAAUCAUUCCUCUGAGUCUGCAUUUUCUGGUUGGUUCAGAGGUGCAUUCAGGUACAGUUUGAUGGUUCUGAGGUGCAUUCAGGUACAGUUUGAUGGUUCUGAGGUGCAUUCAGGUACAGUUUGAUGGUUCAGAGGUGCAUUCAGGUACAGUUUGAUGGUUCAGAGGUGCAUUCAGGUACAGUUUGAUGGUUCUGAGGUGCAUUCAGGUACAGUUUGUUGGUUCCAAGAGAAAUAAUAGUUUUUUAAUAAGAGCUAGCCUUCAUCUAUCACCAAAUGAAAACAUUAGGUAUAGUUUAAAUUAAAGUUUAAAGUAACUUAUGUUAGAAGGUUAUGAACAGUCAACAUCUUACCUGUUGCAGGUAGAGCUCUGAAAGACCUCUGUUUGGAUAAAGUGUGUUUAAUUCUGAAUGAAUUUAUGAGGUAAUGAGUAGUCCAAGCAAAUUUAUACUAGAGCUGAGUGGUAUGACCCAAAUUUAUAUCACGGUAUUUUCAACAUUUACACCGGUUUGACGGUAUUUU